CAUAAACACAGCCAUAAUUUUCCGUGUCCAACUUUAAUCAUUCAUCUUAUUUAAUUUUUUUUAUAGUUAGUAUUUUUAUUGUUAUUAGAUUUUAAAACAUGAAUAGAACUUUAUGCGUGACUUAUGUUUUUUAUUUUUUUAAAAAAAAUUAAAUAAGACGAAUGAUUAAAGUUAGACAUGGAAACUCAUGACUGAGCUUAUU
rfam:Oryza glumipatula chromosome 1, whole genome shotgun sequence.